rnacentral:rRNA from 1 species
AGUUUGAUUCUGGCUCAGGAUGAACGCUGGCGGCAUGCCUAAUACAUGCAAGUCGAACGGAGUGAAGCCUUCGGGUUUCAUUCAGUGGCGAACGGGUGAGUAAUACGCAGGGAACCUGGCCAUGGCAGGGGGAUACACUCUGGAAACGGAGCAUAAGACCCCAUAGGCAGUAAGGCGGCAUCGCCUUACUGUUAAAGAAAGCUGAAAGGCUUUGGCGAUGGAUGGACCUGCGGUGCAUUAGCUUGUUGGUGAGGCAACGGCUUACCAAGGCGAUGAUGCAUAGCCGGCCUGAGAGGGCGGACGGCCACACUGGGACUGAGACACGGCCCAGACUCCUGCGGGAGGCAGCAGUAGGGAAUUUUCGUCAAUGGGCGCAAGCCUGAACGAGCAAUGCCGCGUGAGUGAGGAAGGUCUUCGGACUGUAAAGCUCUGUUGCCGGGGAAAAAGGGGAAAUGCAGGAAAUGGCAUUUCAUGGAUGGUACCCGGCCAGAAAGCCACGGCUAACUACGUGCCAGCAGCCGCGGUAAUACGUAGGUGGCGAGCGUUAUCCGGAAUGAUUGGGCGUAAAGGGUGCGCAGGCGGUCUGUUAAGUCUGAAGGCAAAGGGAUGAGCUCAACUCAUUUAUGAUUCAGAAACUGGCAGACUUGAGGACAGGAGAGGGCGGUGGAACUCCAUGUGUAGCGGUAAAACGCGCAGAGAUAUGGAAGAACACCAGUGGCGAAGGCGGCCGCCUGGCCUGUGACUGACGCUGAGGCACGAAAGCGUGGGGAGCAAAUAGGAUUAGAUACCCUAGUAGUCCACGCCGUAAACGAUGAGGAGCAGGUGUUGGGAGUGAAAUCUCAGUGCCGAAGCCAACGCAGUGACUCCUCCGCCUGGGGAGUAUGCACGCAAGUGUGAAACUCAAAGGAAUUGACGGGGGCCCGCACAAGCGGUGGAGUAUGUGGUUUAAUUCGAAGCAACGCGAAGAACCUUACCAGGUUUUGACAUCGGAUGCGAAGGCGCAGAGAUGCGCUGGAGGCUAUCAUCCAGACAGGUGGUGCAUGGUUGUCGUCAGCUCGUGUCGUGAGAUGUUCAGUUAAGUCUGGCAACGAGCGCAACCCCCGUGGUAUGUUACUAACGCAUUUGGGCGAGGACUCAUAUCAGACUGCCGGUGACAAACCGGAGGAAGGCGGGGAUGACGUCAAAUCAUCAUGCCCCUUAUGACCUGGGCUACACACGUACUACAAUGGCGUCUACAGAGGGAAGCGACCCUGAGAAGGGAAGCGAAACCGGAAAAGGGCGUCCCAGUUCGGAUUGAAGUCUGCAACCCGACUUCAUGAAGAUGGAAUCGCUAGUAAUCGCGGAUCAGCAUGCCGCGGUGAAUACGUUCCCGGGCCUUGUACACACCGCCCGUCAAACCAUGGAAGCCGGCAACGCCCGAAGCCGGUGGCAUAACCUUUUAGGAGUGAGCCGUCGAAGGCGGGGCCGAUGACUGGGGUUAAGUCGUAACAAGGUACCC